ensembl:lncRNA
UCCUGACUCUCAUCUUUCUUGGCUUCAGGAAACGCUCCAGGACACAGCAGCAAACAUGUGAAACACCAAGUCAUCUCAACAAUUCAAAGCCCUGUGGAAAGCCAUUCUCCAAAGGGGAUGAAGAUGAUGAAGAUGUGUAUGGCAAUGAUGAAAUGAUGCAGGAUGAUGAUGGAGAGAUCUAUGCUAACACCGCGUAUGGAGGCGGUGAAGAGCGUUAUGAUGACAUUUAUGCCAAUUACAAGAGCCAGUGAAAGCCAGAAAGCAGCCGUGCACCAGCAAAUCCACCCUGUGCAGUCUCCAGACCAACAGAGGCCCCAAGUGCAAUUCUGUGAAGUGGCAGUGCACAUAUCCAUCUCAAAAAAAGAAAAACAGACAAACAAGCAAACAACAUUAUAUCAUAUGUUUAGUAUGUAAUGAUACUUUUCACUUUUUACUUUCUACUGGUACACAUGCGUGUUUAUUUUCAUGUAAAUAUGCUAAGACCCUAAAAAUUGCCGCUUCACUUAUAUGUAUGUACGGUAUAUGUAUACGCUAUAUGUUACUUUCUUACCUGUGAAUUGAGCCAGUGGUUAACCAACCAGAUUAUACUAAACAGCCUGAGC